GGUGAGUAAUGUCUGGGGAUCUGCCUGAUGGAGGGGGAUAACUACUGGAAACGGUAGCUAAUACCGCAUAAUGUCGCAAGACCAAAGCGGGGGACUUUCGGGCCUCGCACCAUCAGAUGAACCCAGAUGGGAUUAGCUAGUAGGUAGGGUAAUGGCUUACCUAGGCGACGAUCCCUAGCUGGUCUGAGAGGAUGACCAGCCACACUGGAACUGAGACACGGUCCAGACUCCUACGGGAGGCAGCAGUGGGGAAUAUUGCACAAUGGGCGCAAGCCUGAUGCAGCCAUGCCGCGUGUAUGAAGAAGGCCUUCGGGUUGUAAAGUACUUUCAGUCAGGAGGAAGGGUGUGAAAUUAAUACUUUCAUGCAUUGACGUUACUGACAGAAGAAGCACCGGCUAACUCCGUGCCAGCAGCCGCGGUAAUACGGAGGGUGCAAGCGUUAAUCGGAAUUACUGGGCGUAAAGCGCACGCAGGCGGUUUGUUAAGUCAGAUGUGAAAUCCCCGGGCUCAACCUGGGAACUGCAUUUGAAACUGGCAAGCUUGAGUCUUGUAGAGGGGGGUAGAAUUCCAGGUGUAGCGGUGAAAUGCGUAGAGAUCUGGAGGAAUACCGGUGGCGAAGGCGGCCCCCUGGACAAAGACUGACGCUCAGGUGCGAAA
rnacentral:rRNA from 1 species